CGCAGCCUCGGUGAGGGAGGGCCGGGCUCGCUGAGGGCGGGCCGGGCUCGGGCUCCGCUCCCGCUCCGGUUCCUCCUCCCGGCGCUGCUC